UACAGAGGUCUCAAGCGUUGUUCGGAUUCAUUGGGCGUAAAGGGUGCGUAGGCGGCGCGGUAAGUCGGGUGUGAAAUCUCGGAGCUUAACUCCGAAACUGCAUUCGAUACUGCCGUGCUUGAGGACUGGAGAGGAGACUGGAAUUUACGGUGUAGCGGUGAAAUGCGUAGAUAUCGUAAGGAAGACCAGUGGCGAAGGCGGGUCUCUGGACAGUUCCUGACGCUGAGGCGCGAAAGCUAGGGGAGCGAACAGG
rnacentral:rRNA from 1 species